AAUAUUAUAUUCUCUCCAACAUUUCUACUCUCCUUUCCAUUUUUAUUGGACAAAAAAAUAAUUUUUAAAAUAUUAGGAAAAACAAAUUGGGGCUUAGAGAGGAAGCUGAGCUGAAAAAUCCACACGAUUUUUACUCUCCAGAACAUAGGUGAAAAAUCCACACGAUUUCUCUUCUCCGGAACUUCAAAUCGACUGAAGCAGAGCUGAAAAUCGAAGAGAGGGAGCUGAAAGUCGGAGGAGCUGAAGAGAAGAAGCUGAAGACUGAAGCUGAUCUGAAAAUCGGAGGAGCUGAAAUGAUCCUAUUCUCCAAAAUCGGAGGAGCUUAAAACUGGAGGAGCUGAGCUGAGCAGAUGUUGACCAACUGAUUCUACCCUCCAAGCUUUGUUAGUAUUCUUUGUUAAUGAGCUGUUCCGUUGGAUUUCACAGAUGAACAAAAUGCUUCACACAUGAACACACCUCACUUCUUGGGUUGUUACAACAGUGUUUAUAAGAGAACAUGAGCAAGAGGUAAAUAAUCAGCAAUGAAGAUCUAAAUAGAGCAAGGACAAGAGUCAUUGUCAAAACUUCUCUCAAUGGUUUGAAACUCGUUCUUUGCAACAGGAUGUGCCUGAUUUGAUAAAAAAGUUUUCUAGAGGACAAAAUUCUGUUGCCUCAACUACAAGUUUUUCAAGUUCAAAGGAUAAAAAUCCGAUUGCUGUAAAUUCGACUUAUCAUGGUAAAAUAGUUGAUAUUGUUGAGCUAUACUAUUACGGCCAUUUUAAGGUUGCUCUAUUUAAAUGUGAUUGAUAUGAGGUUGAAAAUGAUACUUAUGGCCUUACUUAUGUUACUUUAACAAGAGAUUCUCUCAAGAGGAGCCUUUUGUUCUUGGAUCUCAAGUACACCAAUGUUUCUAUGUGCAAGAUCCAUAUGAUCAACAUAAACAUUAUGUUAUGAAGAGACUGUUCCGAGAGAUUUGUUUAACAUGAGUGAUCAAGUCGAAUCUAGUCUCUCACAAAGUUAUAAAAAUGAGCCAUCUGUAUAUUCAGUGGGACCAUCUACACCAAAAGAUAAUAGUGAAGUUCUCUUAACAAGGGCUAAUUUCCAGAAACAGUUAUUGAUGUGUCUUUGGAAGAAUUUAUUACUCAACAACUUGAAGAUGAGUAUGAAGAGGAAUUUGAAGAUGAGGUUGAAGACGAGGCUGAAGAUGAGUCUGAAGAUGAGCUUGAAGAUGAGUCUGACGAAGAGUUUGAAGAUGACACACCAUAAGUUUAAUUAUUUGUGUUAUGACUAUGUGGCGCUCACUUACUGUUUUGUUAUUUAAUUUUUUUUUUGUCUACAAACACAUUAAGAUAUGUAACAUGUGGAAUCGAAGAUUAUAUAUCUACAAUCUUUCAGUAUUCUAUUGGAAUAUUUUCAGUUUUAUACAUUA